GUUUGUAUCCUUAAAAAUUAAGGAGAAAAAGCUCCAAGAAUGAGUUGAAGGCUGAAGUUAAACCUUCCUCAAGUGCUAAAGGUCCUGAGGAGCCAAAAAUUUGUGUCCUGGAUUGCUCUGGAUCAAAGCAGAAGCCAUUGGACCGAGCUCAAGUGAUCAGACCAAAAGGGCUCUUUACAAGCUGAUGGGGGGCUCCAGAUUUAACAAAAAUUGAAAUUUUAACUCUCCUGCCUGCAAUUAAAGCCAAAGAAAUUUAUAUAAAAUUUGCUCUUCAUCCAUUAUUCCAGAAGCCAAGAUUAAUGUGUUGACCUCCAGCCUUUUGUUAUGAGUUUUAUAUUUGUUGUUUUGUUUUUAAAGUGUCGGUUCCUGGAUUCAUGUGAUUCUCUUGCACCUUCAGCUUCAAUCCGUGUCCCAACUAUCCUUAGGGAAGGUCUUUCUAUUCCUCUUCACACAGCUCUGGUGAGGGAAGUGGCUGCUCUGCAAGAGAGGAUGGAGAAACUCGCCAGAUCUCCAGGAUUUACCCAGAAUUGGGCAGGAAAGGAACAGAGUCAUUCCAAACUCAGCAGCAGCACCUGCAAGGCAGCCUUGAGUAAGUCAGGAGUUACUGCCUCUCUCCCAGGUGAGGUGCAGGUGCUCAGCUGCCACCUGGCCGGGGAGCAGAUCCCGUUCCUGUGGCAUUCCUAUGGAACUGUGGGAAAAGAGUGGAGCAGGGGUCCUGCAGGAGCUUGGGGGGUCCUGCUGCCUCACAUCUGUGGAGUCUCUGCUUUACUGAGACACUUCAGGAAUGCAUUUAACCCUUCCAUUCCUUCCUGGCUGUAAGUGGGAGCUUUCCAAUGCCGAGCCUAUACCUUAAACCCAGCUCUUUGCAAGCUUGGUCUCGGUGACAACUUUUGGUGUGAGUGAGACAGAAAUCAGUGACAAAGUCAAACCAGGCUCUGUGCCUGCCCCCCUCCCCUGCCACCCCCCAGUGAUAUUUUGUGUAUUAAAAAGGCAAAGGAAAAUCAAGUUGAUAAGGCACAAACUCCAGCAGCUCGUGACUUUCAAUCAGUGCCUCGGGCUCCCCAGUGCUCUGGAGGGCUCUCGUUGCUAAAAGGGUGUGCUCGGAACAGCAGGAUCCAGGGCAUCUUGAGAGGCUGAUGAAGGAGGGAAAAGAAAGCAUUUUCCUCCCAAAUUCUCCUGAGAUUUAGGGUUGAAAGAGAGGGCAGGUUGGCAAACACAGUGAUGUCAGUGUUCUGCUGGGAUAGAGAAUGUGGUCACAAUACUUUAGAGCGAAAUACAUCAUAAAAGUCAUGUCAUAAAAUCAUAGAAUGGCCUGGGAUGGAAAAUCCCUUUUAAACUCCUCUGUUGGACAAAGGGAGCAACACUCCCAUAAACUGUUGAUGAUAUUCAAGUUGUAAUUUAUAAACAGUCUCCUCAAACAUUGUGGUAUUUGCAAUGUAUUUAUAUCAUAUUAUGUAAGAUAAAUGGCUGGCAAACAUUCAUAAAG
rnacentral:lncRNA from 13 species